UACGUAGGGGCGAGCGUUGUCCGGAAUGAUUGGGCGUAAAGGGCGCGCAGGCGGCCUGUCAAGUCAGUAGUGGAAGUCCAUUUUUCAAGGAUGGAAGUGCUAUAGAAACUGAUGGGCUUGAGUGCAGGAGAGGUUAUCGGAAUUCCCGGUGUAGCGGUGAAAUGCGUAGAGAUCGGGAGGAACACCAGUGGCGAAGGCGGGUAACUGGACUGCAACUGACGCUGAGGCGCGAAAGUGUGGGGAGCAAACAGGAUUAGAUACCCCGGUA
rnacentral:rRNA from 1 species